rnacentral:rRNA from 1 species
GAUGAACGCUGGCGGCAUGCUUUACACAUGCAAGUCGAACGGUAACAGGUUAAGCUGACGAGUGGCGAACGGGUGAGUAAUGCAUCGGAACGUGCCCGAUCGUGGGGGAUAACGCAGAGAAAGCUGCGCUAAUACCGCAUACGAUCUGAGGAUGAAAGCGGGGGACCGUAAGGCCUCGCGCGAUCGGAGCGGCCGAUGUCAGAUUAGGUAGUUGGUGGGGUAAAGGCCCACCAAGCCGACGAUCUGUAGCUGGUCUGAGAGGACGACCAGCCACACUGGGACUGAGACACGGCCCAGACUCCUACGGGAGGCAGCAGUGGGGAAUUUUGGACAAUGGGCGAAAGCCUGAUACAGCAAUGCCGCGUGCAGGAAGAAGGCCUUCGGGUUGUAAACUGCUUUUGUACGGAGCGAAAAGGUCCUUUCUAAUACAAGGGGCUCAUGACGGUACCGUAAGAAUAAGCACCGGCUAACUACGUGCCAGCAGCCGCGGUAA